AGCUUUGUGCAGUGGCAGUAUCGUAGCCAGUGAGGUUCAAAUGAGGCACAAUUAUUGAUGAUUGAAACAAAAUUUCCUCUUUUGCAAGAACUCCAGGCACCAGAGUGUUUGUUCGCUCUGCCAUGUGAGGACCCAGCCGGAAGUUCUGCAAGCCAGGAAGGG
rnacentral:snRNA from 1 species